rnacentral:lncRNA from 1 species
CACCAUAAUGACAUUUUGGUCAAUGACAGAUACAUAAUGGUGAUCCCUUAAGAUUAUAAUGCCGUAUUUUUACUGUACCUUUUCUAUAUUCUGAUAUGUUUAGAUGCACAAAUGUUUACCAUUAUGUUAUAGUUGCCCACAGUAUUCAAUGCAGUAACAUGCUGUACAAGUUUGCAGCCUAGGAGCAAUAGGCUAUGCCAUAGAGCUGCACAGUGUGUAGUAGGCUAUAUACAAUCUAGGUUUGUGUAAGCACACUCUGUGAAGUUUGCAUGACAACAAAAUCACCUACAUCUAACAACACAUUUCUCAGAAUAUAAUCCCAUCAUUAAACAACUUACGACUGUAUGUAGAUCUUCUUUAAUUUCUUUCUUUGGUAUUUUGUAUUUUUUGGUGUAGAUCUUUUAGAUCUUUUACUCAUUUUGUUAAAUGUAUUAUUUUAUCCUUUUUGAUGCUACUAUGAAUGAAUUUUUGAAAUUUCAUUUUCAUAUUGUUCAUUCCUAGUGUAUAGAAUUCUAUUGAUACUUGCAUUUUGAUCUUGUAUCUUGCAACCUUUCUGAAUUUCUUAAUACUUCCAAUAGUUUUUUAAUGGAUUCCUUAGGAUUUUCUGUAUACAAUAUUAUGCCAUUUGUAAAUAGAGAUGGUUUCAUUUUUUACUCUCCAAUAUGGAUGCUUUUUAUUUCUUUUUCUUGCCUAAUUGCCUCGUCUAGAGCUUCUUGUACAGUUUUGAAUAAAAGCAACAAGAGUGGGCCUUCUUGUCUUUUUCCGGACAAGGAAAAUCAUCUAGACUUUCACUAUUGUGUGUCAUGCUAGUUGUGAGGUUUCUGUAGAUGAUCUUAAUCAGUUCAUUAACUUUCCUUCUGUAACUCUCUUUAAAUGCCAUUGGUGGUCAGGGCUGAAUUGUUAAAACAAAUGAGAUCUGAAAGUUCAUUUGGGAUUUUAUGUCCUUUUCAUUAUUUGUAGUAAGGUAUGGAAACAAUGCCCACUAGAGACAGAUUCUCUGUUUUUUUGUUUGUUUUGUUUUUUUGCUUUUCCUGGAAAAGGCUGAAUGUUGCAGAAGAAACUUUUCUCUCUCUUUUCCUUUCCCCUGAGCAUUCUUCCGUAUCUCCCACCACAUGAGAGCAAACAACUGAUUGGGGUGGGUAAAUAUAAUAGCUUCUUUCCAUUCUACCCUUAUGCUUGUAGCAUGCAAUAUGUUUGUGCAUGAAUUUUGAUGGUCCAUAUGCCAUGCCUGUUGUAUAAAAUAGACAGCAGGAAGUCAGUAAAGGUGUCAACAUUAGAAAACUGUCUCGACAAACUUCUAAGAAGAGAAGACAUUAUCACAUCCAACUGAGAACUUAGUUCCCCGGGGGAAGUUAAGCAAAUUAGGACAUGGUCUGCAUCCUGGAAAAGAAUUGCUGAUUUGGCCGGGCGCGGUGGCUCAAGCCUGUAAUUCCAGCACUUUGGGAGGCCGAGACGGGCGGAUCAUGAGGUCAGGAGAUCGAGACCAUCCUGGCUAACACGGUGAAACC